AAUCUCCUGUAAUGAAUUGGUUUGUGAUGUUUAUUCCUCAAAACACUUUUUUUUUUCUUUCAAGGUAGAAAGUCGGAAAAUGGGUAGCUGCAGGGACUUGACGCAAGGGAGCAAGUAUGCUGAAGAGUGCUUUUCCUACAACAGCCUGAUUGCUGGAGAGUGAGCACAGAAGAGUUUUGAGUCUGCAACAAUUACUUGUGGGAGCAUGCAGAGAAAAUCAGGAGUUUGGCGAGGCUGUUUGUUGGGAGCAGCAAUACAGGCGGAGGCGGAAGACAGGAAACUUCGGAGAGUUUAUGCCUGCCAGCAAGCAACACCUGAUCCAGAAAUCAGGCUUUGGCGAUGUGCAGCGCACGGCAAGUAUACUUGAAUUAAUGCCUGAGACCUGGCUGAUACAUACCUCAUAGUUAAUCUGGUUACGCGGGGUUUAUUUCACAGUCGGAAGUUCUUGCACUGGAAGGGAGUCCUGCUGGGGUUUUCUGAGCACACGACUGAAUUAAUGAAUGAACGAAUGCAGCUUGCCAGCCCAGAUUUAAAUUGCUUACUAGAUCAAAAUCUGCUCGUUUUCUCUUUUUUUUUCUUUUUUCUUUUUUUUUUUUUUUUUUUUUUUUUACCAUCCAAUAUGUCUUUCAUUUCAUUUAUUAACGUAUUUAGGAAAACAGAUCAAGAGCACAGAAAGUGCCUGCGGGCGUCACCAAGGCAGCGAAUGCAGAUAAAUGGCUGGGUUUUGUGCUGGCCUCAAUCCUGGCACGAGGCUUUGAGCCGCACUUCUGGGCAAGAGGGACCCUGGCAGGGGCUGGCGGUGUUGGCUGGGGGUGUGAGGAGCCGCGGCCACUGGCAACCCCUUUCCACAGCCCCUGGGAAAAGGACGGCAUUAAGAGCCCUGCUUUGAAAGGGCAGGCAAUAAACCCGGGCUGCUUAGCGGGAAGGGUCACGUUGUUUCUAUCUUUCAGAUCCAUGCUGCCUUGGGAACUAGCCAGUUGUCAGAUUUUAAUGGGCGUUUGCAAACAGUGUAAUAUUUUGAUUUAUUUGGCCACUGGGCAGAUCUCCAGCCUGCCGUCUUGACUGCGGUGUUUGUAUUUUAAUAGAAGUUUUAAGAAGGCUUGGUUAGGGGUAUUUAAGGUAGUCCCUGAGCUUUCAUGUAGACUUUCUCAGCCCUAGUCAGAAACACAGCACUGCAGAGAUGUGGUGGCAGGCUUUUAGGAAGCAGAGAAGCAGGGAUCCUGUAAGGGUGUCCUCAGUGAUGACCUCCUGAAGCCUUUUUUCGGAUGAGCGAGCUCAUCUCCCACUGCCCGCAGCGUCUGAUUUCGCAUCCCAGUGCCUGGACUCCUUAACGCCGUGUCCAACCGUGCUGCGCAAGGCCGGGAUGAAGGCAGCCCUCGCUCCUCCGCAUAGCAGCGCUCUCCACCUUGAGCAGCUCCGGCAGGGCAUUGGGGAAGGCAGGACAUCUGCUCACCCCCCCGAGCCCCCCAGCACCAGCUUCGCAAGGGCUGGACAUCUCUCUCCAAGCCCUGGCGCUGGAUGCGCUGCAAGGAGGUAACGUAUGGAUGCACAGAGCUGGAGGCAGCGAGACGCCUCCCCGGACUCCGGUCUGCAUGCUCAUGAGCAAAGGGGAUGGGAGACAAAUGUCGCUCGUUCAAGGUGAAGGGCAGCGGUGGCAUGAAGGAAAAGCCGCCUGUGCUCUGUGCCGAAGCCUGGAGACCCUCCUGAAGAUUCACGGCUCUUCAUUUUUAACGGUGUCUUAGACAGGAAUUUUAGAGCUUGUGAAAACAAGAGGCUGAUAAAUCCACGGGGUUAAUCACGAGAGAGCCUGCCAAUAUAUCCAGGUGUCCUGAGCUGCACUGCCACUGCUCUUCCUCACCUUCCUCCCCCUGUGCUGCGGACAGACCCUGAGGAGGGAUGGAUAGCUGUGCUGCAUGGUGCAAUGCAGGAAGCUGGCAUGGCGAUACUGACCAGGUUUCCUUUGCUCAUCUAGAGACUCGACUGCAAAUUUGAAUCCAGGUCUCCGGAGGUACAAGCCCAGCGUGCCCACACCGCUCUGCCUGCUGCCGCGGACUCUCCCUGCCUGUUUGGACCCUGACCCCACUGAGGAGGAUGAGGCAGGGUCAGCACCAAUGUGCAUUUCUACUGCACACCAUCCCAAAGGGAGCAGAAGCACUUCAAAAUGAAAAUCUGCUUUGACCUAUGGGACUCAAAUCUAUUAAAUGAGGAGCUGAAGAAGUCACCUGUUUGGACUUUGAAGGGCCAUGGUGGCCACAUAAUUAAUACUCUCCAUGGGGCAGUUCGGUCCCUGAAAAGGCAGCCACAGCCCAGAAGCAGCUAAAGCAAGGAUGGUGGAUGAUUUCAAACGGCACCUCGAAGCCCAGCAUGUUGGCAAACUCCGCAGCCAUUUGGUUCACAGUUUCGUCACAAAGCCCUUUAGAGACAGCAAGCUGCACAUCGCCACCCCUCUUCCUCAUCUGCCUCCCCUGUGGGCACACACGGAGAAGAAGGGAAGCCCGGGCAGCGCUAGGUGGUGCGCCCACACCUACCUGUCCUCCAGCAGCUGCCCUGGGAGGGGAAGGUGUGAUCUCGGCAUGCCGCAGUGAUCCACCCAGGAGGAUGGGAGCACGAGGAGAAACAUCAACACACCUUGGAAAAGGGCAGGCAGUGCCCAGGCGCUGAACAGUUGCGAAGUACCCCAUUAAUUCAGGAGCAAAGAGGCAAAAAGCAGCCCGUCAGAACUUCAGACUUCACCAGCUUGCUGUACCGAGCAUCCCUUGAAAUGCUAAUUAAAACGAGCUGGGGGAGAGGAGCCUGCUAACAGGAUCACAGCCUCUCUUGGAUCGAGCAAUAAACAUGUAGUAGGCAUCCAUGUUUCCCUGUAUCCGUAUUUUCCAAGCCGAGUUGACUGUAAAUGUUGCGGUUGUGUGAAACCCACACAGAGCAGGAUGCAAACACAAACUAGAAAGAGACGCGAGGCCUACUCACGAAGCUGAAAGAGGAAAAACAUGACAGCCUUUGACAUAUAAAUAAAUAACUGCCUGAAAUGAGGGCUAAUUAACUUGCAAUAAACCAACUUAACCACUUAGGGGCAGCGUUAACACAGAGUUAACAUGCAAAACAAACCUGUGUGUUCUCACCUGGUUAAUUUAGUAUGCACCGUGAAUAUUCAUCGUGCACCAAAGACUGAUCCAUCAACACACUGAGUGAUGCGGUCUGUCAAACCCGGGAGUGCAAGAUAAUAGGGGUAACUCAGCUGCUGCUCACACAGGGUUGACUUUGAUCAUUUGGUGUUUCUAAACACAUUCAUAGAUGUAGGACUUUGCUUCUUUUCCUCUGUCAGGGCCACGGAGUAUGUUCUAUACAAAGAUUAAACCUAAAAAAAAAAAAGAGAUA